UAAAAAUGUGAGAGAGGCAUGCAAGGGCUGUCGCUGACUCCAAGAUCGUGCACGCCGGAGUGCGCCCUCUCACAUAAUAAUCCAUCUCACCCUUUGUGCACCACCGCGUGGGCACCCUUUGGGAUCAGACUGAUCUCGGAGGAUGCUCGCGUUUCACACAAACCCCCCUUUUAAAAGUGUAGAGUGACCUCAUUUAUGCGCUAACCCGCAAUCAAUACAACUUUCAACAACGGAUCUCUUGGCUCUCGCAUCGAUGAAGAACGCAGCGAAAUGCGAUACGUAAUGUGAAUUGCAGAAUUCAGUGAAUCAUCGAAUCUUUGAACGCACCUUGCGCCCCUUGGUAUUCCGAGGGGCACACCCGUUUGAGUGUCGUGAAAAUCUCAACCUCCUUGGUUUCUUCUGGAGACCAAAGGAGGCUUGGACUUUGGAGGCAUUUGCUGGCAUCUUCUCUCUUUUGAAGGUCAGCUCCUCUUAAAUGAAUUAGCGGGGUCCUCUUUGCCGAUCCUUGACAUGUGAUAAGAUGUUUCCAUGCCUUGGUUUCUGGCUCUGUUGCUUUUGGGACCCGCUUCUAACCGUCUUGACCUUGCAUCGAGACAAUGUUCGAGCUCGUCUCCCUUCUCGGGAGACACUCUCGACUCCACGAACCCUUGACCUCAAAUCGGGUGAGACUACCCGCUGAACUUAAGCAUAUCAAUA
rnacentral:rRNA from 1 species